rnacentral:rRNA from 1 species
UAACAGUCGGAAACGACUGCUAAUACCGCAUAAUGCAGCGGCAUCACAUGAUGAUUUGUUGUUAAAGCGGGGGAGCGGAGCAAUCCGUCCUCGCGCCUGAAGAGAAGCCCGCGGCGGAUUAGCUAGUUGGUGAGGUAAUGGCUCACCAAGGCAUCGAUCCGUAGCCGGCCUGAGAGGGCGGUCGGCCACACUGACACUGAAUAACGGGUCAG